ACGUUGUGAAUCAGCCACUACAUCGCAGUCACGUGAUUGUAUGUUUCGGAAGAAAAGCAAACGCACGGCCAUUUCCCCAACACGGAGGAGUGGCAACCUUAAAGAUGCCCGUCUUCUUCUCUUCUGCUCAAAUGUACUUUAAUUUAUAUUUCAUGUGAUGUGACGUAGUGGAACAUUCCUGACG
rnacentral:pre_miRNA from 1 species